UGUAUAAUAAUGGGUGGUAACGGUUUGGCCAGGGGCCCCUCUGCUGUGUGUCUGAACUGCUGCAGUCUAUAUAAGGAAUUACAUUUACAUUUCAGACUUAAGGGGCUGUUUUUUUGGUACGUGUGUUACUUCAAAACGCAUUUUGAGGAUAAAUAGAGGGGGGAAUAAACGCUCAUAAGUCCUACUCCGUGUUUAUCUUCAGAAAAUAAGGAAACAGCUCUGUUGGUGGAGUAACUCUUUUUAAUGGGAUGUUAAACGGGAGGUUUUGUAACCGUCCUUGGCAAUUUUAGGUUUUAUGUGGCAUUUCCUGUGUAGGGUCACGGAUAGGAAGGCUUUCAGCUGUGAUUCUUACCGCGUGAACAGUUCUUAUUUCGUUUAUUUUUAAUAUAUUUGAGUCAGGGGAUUGAUGUUUCUGAUCACUGCUUCGGAUUGUUUAGGUAUAUAAAUGCGUAUGUAAACAUUGGCCUUUUAAGGGACUAACAAGUUGUUCUGAUCGUUCUGAACUCGUGGCUCUCUUAUUUUUACUGUAGGGAGAUGUUUUUAUUAUAGCAAGUAUCGGUGUAUUUAAAAUUGCAGUUUUUAAUUUUCUGUUUUACGUCAGUACUUAUAUUUAGUUGAUGUGGCUUUAUUAGAGGUAAGUUUAGAAAGAGUGCUUUUCUCUUCCACCUUAUUUAAAAUGUUGAUGAUCAGAGAAAGGGGCUUUUCUUGUUGCUGACGACAUGUGUGUGACAUGUGAGUCUGAACCACCCAGUGUCUGUGCGGGAGCAGUAAACAUGUUUACCUGAGCAGGAAAGAAAAUGGAUUUUAUCUUAAAGAUCCCGUGAUAUGAAUAUCAUCCUCUUAAAGCAUAUCAACAGAUGACUUGCGAGAGAGAGAGAUUUUUUUUCCGAAAACCUAGCUUUUGGAAUCAACGGGAAAAAGAGGUUCUCGAUCGCUGCAGCAAAUGGCAACUUGUGCAGGACAUUUUACUGGAUGUCAACAGUGUAUGGCUAGAACACCAAACUGUGUACUCUAAACUUUAAAGCUGUUGCUCAUGUAAUGGAGGCACAUACAAGCUCUAAUUGAUUUACCAUGACUUUUUUGAUGCUGUCAAUUAUCUACCUUUUUUUUUUUUUUUUUUUUUUUUUUUUUAAAUACCUAUGCUUUUCUCCUUUCUUCCCCUGUUGGGAGUCCAAACUUAUGGCUGCCAUUCUGGUACAUUAACUCUGGAUGGAAAGACAGCUGUAAACCUUUCUGUCUCUGGAGCUAGUUACUUUGCUGCCUUUUGAAUACUGGAUUCUAUGGCCAAUACUGGAUUCUAGCGAAAGAUCUGAUUGUUGCCAGUGAAAGCUUUCUGGUAGAACCAAUAUCUGGCACUUCCAGUUCAUUCCUCAAUAAACCAUUGAUUAAAGAGCAGCAUAACACACACACAAAGAUUCAAAGAAUAAAUGUCUGUAUAGUGUGUCUGUAUAAUUAGAAUUAAAUUACCAGACUAUAAACAGUAGCAACACAAAGACUCUUGAGUGAUUGUAUGUUUUUCGUUUAGUAUUUUUGUGCCGGUGAGGGGAGGAGGGACAGGAAGAAGGCCCUGAUUCUUCAGUCUUUAGAAGUCAGUGGGUCCUGUGUAGGCACAGGGGUCCAACAGCGUGGUUCAAUGUUCAGGCUCAGGGCCUAAGGAUAUUGUUUUGUCCCUAUGGCUUUAGGUCACACCUCUUCAAUUAAAGACUUCAUUAGCAUAUUUAGCAUGCAUGUUGCUUAAUUCUUAUUUAAAUGGUUGUUAUGGUAAUGAUUAAUAAUGGUUGAUGGUGAAUAUCCUUUUAAUUUAAAAGUCAGAAAGCAACAACUAUUACUUAUUUCUAUCAUAGUGUUUAAAUAAACUUCUUCUGCAGGAAGGCUAAAUGGACAGUCAACUCAAAAUAGUAAUUUUCAAAAAAUGAGUUUAGACACAACUACAGACACCUUGUGAGCACUACAUCUUACAUUGAGUACCUUUACCAGCUUUUUGUGUUGAUAAAAUAUUUCCACUUUUAAAAAAUAAGUCUUUCUACAUGCAGAGGAACAUGUGAAACUUACUAGCCAAUCAUGUUUACAAAAUUAAAAAUAAGGUGGAUUUUUCUCUAACCUUUCACUUAUACUAAUACAUAAUAUUACUUCUAACAAUAAUAGACAAACAUUUUCAGGAAAGCUUUUUUUAUUAGUGACUCUCUAACCAUUUUACAGUUGUUUUUUCUUCAUUUACGAUUUUAUGAUAUAAUUAUUUUAUAUAUCUUCCGUAUGCUAAAAUAUAGAUUAAAAAUAACACUGCUUCCAAAUAAGCCAAAAGUAUGACAUGUCUGUUACCUUCAAGGUGUUAACAACUGGCAGGAUGUCAGGUGUUUGUGACACUUGGGAUACUACUUUCUUUUUCAUGCCUUUCUCCCCCCAACCUUCCCAGUAGGUAUCCUGUUUUCACUCCAGCAUUAAUUUAAACUUGCAAUUUGGGAAUUGAGGAAUGUAGCCCAAGUUAAAAUUCUAGGGACAGUGAACAGGUUCUGCUCAGCCAGUUGAAUUAAUCCAAAGAAAUCCAGUAUCUCAUGUAAACUAAAUGCAAUUUUUGACAAUUUGAAAAUCAAAUCCAGUUUUCUCCUUUUUAACUUUCUUCUGGAUUGUUUGUGUCUAGUAUAAAAAUGGAUGUAAAGCCUGUUAUUUGAAGUUAAUCGGCUUAUUUACUUUAAUUUUUACAGCACUUUUCAAUGAAAAAACUGCAAGCAGACAAGCUUCUAUGUAGAGGAAUAGAAGUUUAAGUCUGACUAUAUGUUACAGAAGCUUAAAUUAACUUCCUCAGCCUGGCAUCAGCUUUCUUAUAUCAGGAGUUUAGAUGUUUGGGGGAGGUGGGUGUUCAAUUAAUUGAAUGAGUCUUUUGUUUUGAGUUACCUUUUAUCAUAUCAAAUAUUCCUCCCCAUUGAGAGCGUGAUAGGAGUCUUUCCAUAGAUCUCACUGGGCUCUGCAUCAGGCUAUGUACGAGUGUCCCAGCUUUUGUUGACUUCUGAAUUUGGGUUUUAUGUCUUCAGUGGUUAUCAGCCUGGUAUCUAGAUGAGCCUGUCUCCUUAAUAAUUGUAUGUACAAAAGAAGAUAAAGUUCAGGCAAUUAAAUUAUUGGUAGAAUUUAUAUUCUGUUUUAGGAGGGAGGUUAGAGAGACAGGACAGGUGAAGCAAUAUCUUUAUUGGACCGAUUUCUAUUGGUGAGAGAGACAAAGUUUCAAGCUACACAGAGCUCUUCCUGAGGGAGGUGGCAUAGUGUUGGUUCAUCUGUUCUUAAUUAUCCUCUGUUAAGAUUUGUAUACUUAUUAUUUUUCUCAUCAUUUUACAUAUUUCAGGUAUUGUGCCUUUGCACAUGUGGAAAUGACUACAGAAACAUGGGAUAUUCUCAGCAAGGGAUAUUGAUGAUUAUAAAACCAUUAUUUACACUUCUAUUCCUAGGGAUGUUAUAUUCUUUCAUUAUGUCCUUUUUUUUAAACUCACUUACAUACAUGUGACUAGCAUUACAGUGACUGCAGAUUGGUGGCUUCUUUUUUUUUUUAAAUCCUUGAGCAAAAUAUCUGCUUGAGCAAUUAUUCAGAAUACUUACAAGAAGAAACGCUGCUAAGACUGAGACUAUCCAACCUGCUGGUUUUAAAAAAGAAAACAAAAACAAACCCUCAGGUGCUCAAACUUUUAGCUGCAGCCACUAUGUUAAUAAAAAUUAGUUGCUUUUAAUUGGUUGCUGUAUUUUUUACAAAGAUGAAGACAAAUGAGAGCUGAUUAUGCAUAUCACUUAUGAGGCACACCUUCUUGUGACCAUAGAAGUGCAACAAGUGCUAUUAAUGAUAAAAAUUUUUAUCUUUUGUAGCGCCUAGAGGUCCUGGUUGUGGUAGGCUCUACGCAAAACGGAAGACACAGUGCCUGCCCCAAAAAGAUGAGACUCUGGAGAAUUGGGUCCAAUUCUGGCUUUGCUACAGAUUUCUUUGUGACCUUGAGCAAAGGGCCUAAAGCUACAUUUUCAAAUGUACCCACAAAUAGGAUCAAAUUUUUAAGUUUCUUUGUAGGCACGUAAAUAAGGAACAGAUUUGUAAAGGUGCUCGGAACCCAGCAGUUGCUAUUUUGCCACAUAUAACCAGACCUUAAGAACUCUGCACCUGUUGUGCUGACCUGUCUUGAAAAUUUAGCCAGUUCAUAUUGGUACUUAAAUGGGAAGUGAGCUUUCUAGAAAAAAUAUGGCCCUUAAGUGAUUUGCCCAAGGUCACACAUAUAGACAUGUGACCGGAAUUGAACCCAGAUCCCUUGAAUCCCAGUCCAUGUUUUGCCAUCAGGAGUGUGCAUCGUCUCUGGUGAAGGGAGAGCUUUAAAGAAAAGGGAUGGAUCUAGAAUAAAAAUUCGGCAAAUGCCUAUUAAAUGCUUAGGAAGCCCCUUUGACUGACUUAAAGUCAAUACAUACAAAUACUAAGCUCUGUUCCUACAUAUCAAGGUGCAGGUACCAUACAUGUCAAGCAGUGGUACUUAAUCAAAACCAACUAAAAAUGAUUAAGAAAAAAUUAGGACACUUUCUUCAUGAAUGACUCUUCCUACAUUUAAAGUUGAUGUGGAAGGAAUGAGGAGCAAAAGUUCUGUACCUUGAUUUUGCACAGCAUAACAAGCAAUAAAUCUAUUGCAAAACAGAGUGUAGGCAGGGACACUAAUAAAAUAAAAUGAAUGAGGGAAUUGAACUGUAAAGAAUGCUAACCAGUGUUUAACAGUCUAAAUCUUCUCAGGUGUCCGAGUAGCUGGUGUGAGUCUUUACUUAGAUGGUUAAUAUGAGUUCUAUCAGGGGAGGAGACUGCUUGACCUGCCCUUGGUCGACUGUGGCUCAGAGAGAGAGAGCACUAUUGGAUGGCUGGAAUUGCUAGUUUCAGAAAGCAUCUGCCAGAAAAGGUAGCAGCAUGGUGGGUUUUUUCAUUUUUAGGUAUGAAUUGGGUUGGAAUCCACCUGUUCAAGGUAGGCACAAUAAACAUCUGCUGAAUUAUGUUUGUUUUUAAAAUUUCUAGCCCUCAUUUCUAGCAUGGCUGCAUGCAUAGUCAUUCAAGUGUGAAAAGAGACAGCAUAAAUCUAUUCGGUGAUGUCUUCCUAAACUGUCUGGACAUCUCCAGUAUCAUCACUGCUUGGUGGGGCGGGAAGAGAGGGAAUUGCUGCUUUUAGGACAGGGCAGCAGAGAAGGCCACUCUCAGGAGUAGCGUGGCCUGGUGAGGUGGUGGCUGCUUGUACAGUCACCACCAACGCUGGAUCAUGGGUUUGGGCGGAGGGCUGGCAUCCUAACUGAGGAAUAUGUAGACUUGUGGGUGAAGUCGAGGGCAUCAUAAACUAAUCUCUGGUGACGGGGACUGUCUUUUCAUUCAUUUACUGAAAAGGAGUGUAGGUUGAUUGGGAUAGAGGGGAUAACUGGUUUUAGGAAAACAUUGGGAGGUGCUGAAGAAAAAACGAUUCCUUUACUCUUUUGUAGGGGGUGGGGAAAUGGGAGCAUUCCAACUGUCACUGAAGUUUGGUACCUUGCCUCUAUGGUGAUCUAUCCUGGUGAUCUUUUCGUGAAAAGUGUACACCCAUCUCUUACAACAUAGUGCCAUUGGCUGGUUGUGCAAUGGGAGACAAUAGUAUAAAAUAUUUGUUUGACAUCAGUUGAUCAGCUUAUGCUUUGAAACACUAGGAUUGCUAACCCUUAACUUUUCUCCUUACAUGUUCUUCAUGUAAAUGGGCAACCUUUUAAAAUCUCACUUGGCUAUUGCUUCCAAUAUCCUGAUUUAGUCAAUCCCACAGGUUAAUUAUGAGAUGCACAGGAGUUUCUCAUCAGUCUUUAAUCAGUUUUUUUAGCUUUUUAAUUUCAAGUGUGUCCUUUGUUUUUUAAAUUAUAGGAAAGAGUAACAGAAGUCCAUGACUAGGUUGAAACCACUCAUUAUUCUAUAUUGUUGUACUUCUGUAUUCUCAGUCUCUCUCUCCACUUCAAACUAAAUAACCGUAGUCUUUUUAAAACUGCCUCUUUUAUGAAAAUGUCUUCUGUGUAUGAAUUUUUUUACUGAUCUUUUUGUGCCUUUCUAAUUUUUGCUGUGUUGGCUAGGAUAAGUCCUAUUUGGCAGCCCAGAAAAAUGAAACUUCCUAUUUGGUGAACAAGCUACAGACUUGCACUUAGAUUCAUGUGGGUACCCACAACUUACCUAGGUAUUUACCUGGACUACCACCAUCAUAGUAUUUAGCACCUUCCAAGUAUUUAAAAACAAUGUUAGCUUACAGAGUUCACUGUUACAGUGAUUGUGUCUGUGUCCCUGAAUCCUUGUCUAAAUAUUUCAUUACCAGCACUGUUGCCCUCUGAAUGCAUUUUCUCUUAAGGACUUUUGUUUUACACAAGACCUUGCUCUCCUUGGUCUUCUGGAGAGUGAAGGAGGAAAAUAAAAGUAGUGAAACUCUAAUUUUUAUGUUUAAGACUGGUGGGGCAGUAAGGGUUUAAUUUCAUUUUCUUGAUGGGGGAAGACUCUUCCCAGCACCUGGCCACAACACACAUUUUUCAAAAUGUGGGGGCAAGGAUAAAGGAGAUGGUGAUACAAAGGAGUCAGAAAAAGGCUUUUAGAUUAGAGCCAGGUGCUGAUAUUUUUGAACUUCUUACCGGUCUCCAUCAUUCUUCUGGGUCAGUUCAUCCUUAUCUCCCAACCCAGCAUUUCAUGCUUCUCUCCAGUCAUGUUUCAUUUGACCUCUUGUCUCCCUUUCAGGGUGUUGUAAAAUUGGAGUAAGUAUCCUGGGUUUUCCAGCAUGCCUUUUUGUUCUUAACAUGUCUCUGUUUCUACUCCUGUUUCUAAUGCUUGACCUGGCGGCUGGCAAUAGUAGUAUAGUGAAACUGGUGUACUCCUGAUCUGUCGCUCUGCUGCUCUUGUGGAGGACGUAUUUACAGGGGCUGUUCUGGUGAAGAGUAAAAAGAGGGGAUGUUGCUGACAAACAAGGGAGUGGGAUAGUAGUUUCACCAAUGGUCAAGUGAAAGAACACAUCAGUACCCCUGCUGCCUGGUCCAGCGCUGAAAAAUUUGUGCAUUCAGGGCCUGGUUUGUGAAUGCUUCCCAUCAUUCUAGGAAACUCCCAUUCACUAAAUUGCAUCUGAUAGAGUAGUGUGGAUGGAUAAUGGUGUCAGCUAUGCCCACCCCCUUUUGUACAGAGGUUGCCAACAUAGGGGAACUUUUGGAGGGAGUAAGAAAAAUAAGAUUCCAAAAUAUCCACAAACAAAUAUGGUGGUAGCUUAAAAAAGGGGGAGUGGUGGUGGGAAAUGCUCUCCAUCUGAAGAAAUGGAUUAGAGAAGAGACCCAGAAAAAAGGAGAAAAUUGCUUGUGCUGGGUUGAGAGUUAUUUUUGCUAAGAUGAAGGUGGCAAGCUGGACUAGUAGUUCAAAGAAAAUAUUCUAACUAAACCCACAAGCAAAACCAACACUGUGGCAUUCUCUAUCUGAAAAUGUUUGGGAGAGUGGGAGACUCUGCUUCCCUUACUCCCAGAUACAUACUUAAUUUGUGUCUGUGCACAGCUUCUCUCCACACUUCAGUCUGAGCGCCCCCUGCCCCACCCCAGUCCCCUUUCAGGGUUGUCUUUUGAGAUUUCUUUACCAUCAUUUUUGUUUGUUCAUUUUCCAAGGCUACAUAUCACAGUGACCAUCAGUCAAACUAAUUCUGGAUUUGACUUCAUCCAAAGACUGGCAAACAUUUUCUUUCAUCCAGCCUUCUGCUCUGCUCUUCCUAAACAGAAUUUUGCCUGUGCCUUGUUGCUCCUGUUGCUAUCUAGCAGCAGCACCAGGAAUUGCAACAGAACAGAACUGAUGUUCCCUCUCAUUAGGUUCACUCUGCGGUUGCCGUGAGGAAGUGUUGCGAGUAGCAAAAGCAAAUCCCCAGAUGCAGUUGAUUCCUGCAGCAAAAGGGUGUGGAUAGAAGAGAAUACAGUGCUUCUCUCUUGAUGUCUACAUAUUAACUUUCUCUCCCGUCAGAAGAGAACCUGAUAGGAUCUGUAUCAAUUUCUUUCUGCUUUUGAGGAAGUGUUCUAGGUUGUAGCAGAGAUGAGGUAUGAUCUUUUAUGAGACCGUCAUGCAGGGGAAUUUCAGAACUUUUGAGUGGUGAAAAGGGACUAGAAAAAAUAGUUCCCAUGCCAAAGUUAAACUCUUGUAUUGUGAGGAUUACUUCAGUGAGUCAUCCACAGCUAUACUUAAGUCUUUUGAGAGAUUACAACUAAUUCAGAUACCAUUAGUGAAUUAGAAGCUCAAACUUUUGGUUCCAGUGUGUGUUUAUACUCUGAAUUUCAUCUGUAGAUUUGUUGUUUGUAUUAUGAAGUUUAAAUAAUUACGAUAUAUAUAGAAAGAUUUUUGCUAGUAUCCUGUACCUCUUACUUCAUCUAAUAAGAGAUUGACUUAAACUCUGCAUGUUAUAACAUGGAUAAACUACGCUUGCUCAGUUGGUAACGAUAAUGAUACUGAACAAACCAAGACUAACGACUUCCAUAUACGGAAUCUGUUCUAAUUCCUUGGGAUGUCAAAUCAAGGACGUUAUAAAAUUCUCCCUGUGGAAUAAUGUUCUUAUUUGUGGGGUUUUUUUGUUGUUUUUUUGGUUUUGUUUUGGAGCCUUCUUUAGGGAAAGAGGAAACUUUCCAUCCUAUAUGUAGUGCCUUUCCCUACCUCCUCAUCAUUCUAUACAGGAACAAAUAAAAUAAAUGGUUUGCAUUUUUCUUGCAAACAGGCCUUAAUUGGGUGUGGGUGAGAGAGAUUUCCCUCUAAAUUGUAGAACUUGUGUCUAUUUUCUAAAUGUUUUUAAAAUCACCUCCAGAAAGUUGCAAUCUUUUUUUACAAUAUGAAUUUUACAAUUUCCUGAAGUUUUUAUUUUCUCUAACUGGACAUUGCACCUUAAAUUUCAACCUUCACCUCUAACCUAUCCAAUUUAGAACUUUGAAUUUCUCAAACUUUUAUAAGGAUUUCUCUACAGAAACUUCCUGAGACUCCAUCUUUGGCAUCCUACAGACAUUGCUUGUGUUUAUAAAGACUUCUGUUCUCUUGAUAUUUACGCAAACUGCGGGAAAAUCUUAACUGGUAUCAGGCAUUCCACUUAGAUUUUUAAUAGUCUAGGUUGAAUAGGCUUAAAGAACUGCCAUGUCUCCCACUAGCCUCCACAAUACUAGGUAUUGUUGCAAGAAACAACUAGACAAGCUCCCCGUAGGAGGGUAUUGGAUGGUCCAGCAGCCACAAGAACCAGCAAGUAUUGAUGAAUUUUUUUCUUCCCCCUUGUCUCUCUUGCCACACUAACUGUUGGCAGGAAAUGCUAACAGCUUCAACAAAUGGCUCUACUGCUGUUAGGCAUACAAGAUGCUGUUUUCAAAGAUAUUGACACACCUGACAUUAAAAGCAGGUUUUGACACAGCAGCUUGCAUCUGCUUCACUCCUUGUGUCCUAGCUUCCUUCUUUAACAUUAAGUAACUUAACAUUUUAUAUCGGUAAACUUUACCACUUCACUCAUUUUAAUCUGUAGAGGAGCUCUGUGUAGUUUGAAAGUUUCUGUUUCUUUCACCAGAAGAAGUUGGUCCAAUAAACCACCUUGUGUCUCUAAAAUAUAAAGCAGUCUUGGUGCACUUCCACAUCAACCUCUUUCCACUGUGAGAAAUAGCUGUUUUUGAUUGUUCCUCUUACCCAGUUCUUAAAGUCUGACAGUAGAUUUAUGUCAGGUCUGUUCCCAACUCUUUUUAACAGCAUCUCUUCAGCGACUCUUCAGCGUAUUAAAUAUUUUGAAAGUCUAAAUUUAAUCCACCAGCUCCCCCAAUCCAUUAUUUUUUUUUUAAUUUAACUGGUAGAAAGGUACUAAAGGCAGCCACAACUUCUCCAUUGUGCCAAGUGUGCUAGGUGCUUUACAGACUAAUCUAAAGAGUAGGUCUUUGCUCCAGAGAUGAUACAUUCUGAAAGGACAGGGAUUAAACAAGGGAUAGCAGGAGGAAUGUGACGCAAAGUAGCACGAUAGUAUGGUUAAAUAGAACAGGUGUCUUAUUCCACUUUAAUUUAGUGUUUUGUAUAUAGAAGUGUGGUUUAUCUAAUCUUAAAGGCAGAGAUGUUAAGGUUUUAUAGGCCUUUUGGAAGGGGUAUCAGAUCUACUUGAAGGAAUGAAGGCCAGAAGCAUGGUGGAUUGAGACAGGGAUGCAGGUCACGGAAAGAAGAUUUGGAACAGAUAACUUUACUGGUUGGGUGGAACAAAGGCAUAAAGGGGUGUGCAGAAAUACUCAGGAGUUAGUGUCUCAAGGCCUAAACAACCCAACCUGGUACCCUAUCACAGCAGAUCAGGGUUUCAAAGACUUAAGCAUUUUCUGCUACCCAUGUUCUUCCUAACCUCUACUCUCCACUAGAGCUUGGGGUGGAGGGAAGAGACUUUAUUAGCUUUGUGGUAGGCUUGCAGCAUCUAGCCAGCAGAUGCUCUGCUCCUGCGUUCUGCUGUAAAUGAAGGAGACUUUCUGGACCUUGCCUCCACUCAUGAAGUGAGGGCUGUGUCUUUGAGAGUUUGUAUUUGUGUCAAUUGAACUGGCAAGUUAACAUGAAACAGUUCUGUUAUGGAAGGAGUCAGACUCUUGAGGUUUGCAAAAUUUUGUUUCCAGUGUUUCGUUUCACCUGAAUGAAAGUCUAGUCUAUCUUGGCAUUUUGUUUUUAGUCCUUAAACUCUGACAUAUCAAAGCGUUUUCAGAUUUCCACAUGGAAAAGGAUAGUGUUUAACCACAUGAACUCUAGUUCAUUGUCAUUUAAGCACUAAGUUCUUGUUACCGUAUAAUGUAAGUAUUUGUAACUCUUACUCUAUUUACCUCUUAUUUACCUCUUUGACAGGUAUAUCUUAUGAUCUCCUUACUCCCUGGCUGCUUUUCUCUUGGUCUAACCAUAAUUACUGUCAUUCAAGAUGCAUCAUUUUCAUGUGCAUGAGACUCACUUUAUGACCCUUCCAGAUUUCAUUGUGUCUUAAGUACCUCUACACCAGAUUUUCCUUCAAUCCUAGAUCCUAUUGUCAAUAACCUUUCCCUCCCUCCUAUUUCUAUUUUUCUGUAUUUUAAAGAGCGACUUUAGAAUAUGAAACCUACUGUUGAUCUAUCUGUGGUCCACAGAGAGCUGGCAGGGUACUCGGUGCUGCCUCCACCUCUUUCCUUAGAUUUGUUUCUACAGACAUCCAGGCUCUUUAUGGCGUUGAAAAGUCUGGCUGUUUAUAUUUUAAAUAAAAUAAAAAAAGCUAGAGACAAGGAAGAACUAGCCUAGAUGCCUUCUGUAGAGCAGCUUCUAGUGUGGGGAGGGGUGAGUGGGAGGAGAAUGGAACCAAAGCUACUCAUGGAGACUAUCAAUUAUUGGAACAUUAAAAAUACUUCUUUCCACAUAGGCAAUUGAUGUAGUUUAUAGUCUCAAAUUUAAAGAGAAUGGUUCAUACCACCGUCUUGGGAAGGGAGGUUGCCAGUGAGACUCUGUAAAAUGUAAGCCAGGCUAUGAACUCUUGUGUUGGAGCCCUAGUAGAUUUCUGUGAAUGCCAGGUUUAACGCUUAUGACUGUGGCCAACCUAUGUUUUUGUUACUAAAGUCUCCCUGCUUUUCAAACUGAAUUGGCGCUCUCAGAAGUGAAUGUCCCAGUCGACUGAGUCUCAAAUGCACAUACAUGGAAGGAGGGAGGAAGGUGUCCAAAGAUAACUGUGACCUUCAGCAAAUAGGGGGAAUUGAAUAUGAAGGGGAUAAUAUUCUACAACUGUUAGUAGAUGUGCAAUUAUAAAGAUCACAUGUAAAACUAGGGAGGUGGUAAUGCUGCUUAAUGUCGACUUGGUGUGUGACUUUUGCUAGAAUGUUGUGCAGUGGUCUCCACACUUCAGAAAACCUAUAGAAAAAGCAGAGAAUACCGUACAAAUGGAGGGAUCAGUUGCCUGAAGUUUUAAAAACUAAUUAGGUUAGAAAGAACUCUUGCAUUAAACAAAAAAGAUAAAUAAUGGUAGAAUAACUACCAAGGUAGGUGGUGUCCGAAGCACAAUUACUGCAGAUAUUAAAUCUAUUGCAAAAAUUUGUUAGUGGGAAUUAUAUAGUGAAUAAUCCUCCUAUAAAGGAGGUUAACCGUGUUGUUUUCAGGUCUUGCUUCUCUUUUUUUUUUCUCCUCACUACAUAAAACAUCAGUCACUCUGAAACUGCCGCAGAUAUUGUGGUGUACAAUAUGAUUUUUUUCUCAAUUGUCUAAUCUCCUAACUCAACCAACUGGCAAUGAUGCCUUUCAAACAAGAUGACUACAUUUGUCACUCUCAUUGAAACUGUCAAAUUGAGUUUGAGAGUACUGUUCUAAAACUUUGUUUUAACACUAGGUUCUGUCCACACUGGAUAGUCCAAACUAUGUUAAAAACUGGUUUUGUGGAGAUUGCAAAAUGCAGUUAUAGUAAAACUCUAUCCUUGGGCCUCUGGUCUGCGUAGGAUCACCUUGCAAUCUUACUUCUGGUGGAAUUCUGCGCCAUUGCGCAUGCACAGAAUUCAUGUCCCCUGCAGAUUUCUUUGCUUCCCUGCAGAAAAAUGACUUUCUGAUGGGGAAGCAAAGGGAAGCCCCAAGAGUGCUCAUGCAACCUUCCCCAGCAAUAUGUUUUGGGUGCCCAGGGCAGCCGACAGAGAUGCAAAUCACUGUGGGGCAGGGGGUGGGACUUGGGAAGACCCGGCUGGUGGCUCCUACCCUGCGCCAGGCUCAGCUGAUAGUCCUGGCUGGGCUGGGGAGGGUGGGACUUCCUCUUCUCCUGCACAGCAUCUAGGACUGGGUCAGAUCCAUCCCCAGAUUUCUCCCGAGGCUUCAGAAAGCUCGGCAAACUUCCCCCCGGCCCUCGCUUCCUGCACCCAUUGCUCCUCAGCUGCAGGGGGAGGGAUUGCUGUAUGGGGAGCUGAUCCUCCGUCUGCCCAACCCCCAUGCAUCCAGAUCCCCAUAUACACAGAACCCCCCCCCCACCCCCCCAGCCGAGCUCCACUGCCCCUGGUCCAGUCACUUGCACCUGGAUCCCCACUCCACUGAGCCCCAACCAGCUGCAUCUGGACCCCCUACUUACCCCCCCCCCACACACACAGACCCCCUGCUGAGCUCUAUCCCCACCACACCCAGACUCCCCACCCCCACUGAGCUCCAACCACCUUCACCUGGACCCCCUGCAGAGUCCCAUUACCCCCCUUGCACCCAGAACCCACUCCCCAACAAGCCCCUGUGCAUCCAGAUCCCCCCUGCACCCAGGUUACCCUAGACAGAACCCUCUCAACCCACACCAAGCCUCUCCACACUUGGAUCCUGCCAGGCUGAGCCUGCCUGCUCACACCCAGUGAACCUGGCACAGAGGGACAGGGCCCUGGGAUGUUUCUGGGGCAGGCCCCGUCCUUGCACUGUGUCAGGAUUAGGUGCAGCCUCACUGCUGAGUCCAUGCCCCGGGGCAGGGAGCUGCAGAGUGAUCUCCCUGCUCUGUCCAGCCAGUGGCCUGUGCUCCCCAAUGCCAUACUGGAGUUUCCACAUUUAUUUGACAAAUAAAAUUUGCAGAAUUUUGAAAUAUUGUGUACAGAAUUUUAUUUAUUUUUGGGUGCAGAAUGCCCUCAGAAAAUUGAAACAACAGAGUCAGAUUUUGGCCUCUGAUCCAACAGUUAUGGUGAUUGAAGAGUAAUUCUCUCACUGUAGGGCGGAUGCAAGUGACUCUGCGCUGCCCAGCAGCACCCCAUGGGCACAAGAAUAGGAGUGUGCUAGGGGACAGGAGAGGGCAUUCUCAGUCAUAUGGAGAUUCUGGACUGCAGAACCGCUUUAGUAAGGCUGUCAUGAGUUAAAGCAGCACAGGGCUGCUUUAACUCAUGGUGAGGCCACUUCAGCCUUCAGAGCAGUCCAGAAUUCAGGUUGUGUAAAGCUGCCUUUCCUUCAGUAUAGAAUCUAGCCUAUUGUAGCCACACACUAUAGAAACUACAGAUUUAAACAAACCCUUUGUCAAGCAUGAGUUUUGGAAGCCAGAUGUACAUACAUUUUAUUAAAAAUAGUCUAAUGAAGUCACUUUUAAUCUGGAAUAAAAGCGAAUCUGAACUGGAAGUUCUUUGCUCAAUGAUUGUGCUUUCAGAGAACAAUCUGGCAACUUGCUGAAGCGACGGCUAAACUCACACCUGUGUCUUUGGUAGCUGGGAGUGUGUGUGCUUCAUAAAGGCAUUAAAAAGAAUAAAUUAUUUUCUUACAUUACUGUGUUUUUUCCUCACCAAUUAUCAGUUGCCGUCUCCCCUCCUCUUUAACUUUGUAGCCAUCCAGCCUGCUAGUGUUGCAAAUUGCUCCAUGCUAACUGUCUUCUUCAAAAUGUAUUGAACAGUUUUGUAAAAAUGACAUUUGAGGUGACUUUUUAAUUGACACUAGUUAGAAAUCAGUGUGUUGCAGCUCUUCAUUUCUAUCAAAGUAACAAAGGUCUGUCUGAUAAGACAGGAUAAUUAAAUCUGAAUUUUAUACUUGAUCCAACUGACUAAGCUUUCAUUUAUACAGAAAAUGCUUUCUGUAUUUUUAGGGGAAAAGGGGCAAUUGAAUUAUCUAUUCAGGGUCUGCUUUCCACCAGUUCACAAUAUUAGUUGCUCUAUAGCUGAACUGUAUUAAUAAAAAUUGAGAUGUGAUUUUUUUUUUAUUCAGUUUUUGAUUUCAGUUUUAACAGGAGUCUUAUUUGGGAUUUUUAUCUGUACUUAGAGACAAAAUUGUGCCGCUUGCUUAAAAAAAAAAAAAAAGUUUUGAAAAGAAAAAAAAAGAAGUAGUUUUGCUGCUUCAUCUAAAUGACAUUCUUUGAAUUAAAUUUACCAAACAUUCCGUGAAAUAUUCUUGGCCAGCUCAAGCUCCCAUGUCAGAGUCUCCAUUACUGUAGAUAGGGUUAAGCUAGUCCCCUUUUUAAAUCUGAGUAAGCAGCAGCUGAAAUACUGCUAAAUGACCUUUGACAUAGGAACCCAUGAAUGCCCCAAGUAUGAUUUCACUUUCACCAUGUUCUUUGUGAACCUGAAUGCUUGUCAAAUCAGAUGUGUGUUUAGACCUUUUCACUGAAUGUGCCUGGAGGGGGAGAACAAAGCAUGGGGUCAAUUUGGCAUAAUCCCCACGUUUUAUCUUUAUUCUGUUAUAGUGGCUUAUGGGGGAUGGGGUAACUUUUCUUCCUAAGGUGAAAGUGCAAGCAGAGUGUAGAGAGGCUAUCAGUCAUUUCUUCUAGACUUUCUUCUCAACAACGUAGCUGGUCUCCUGUGAUGUACACAACUAAUGUAUGGCUGACUAGAUUGCUGGUUGAUAUGUAAUGAUUGCUAUUUGCUUUACUCACCACUGUUAUGUAAUAGUAGCAUCAAUUGGCUAAUUAUGUGAAGUAAACAAAUGUGUAUAUUUAACCUUGGAUAACAGAUGCAGAAGUCUGUACUAAACACUGCUUUCUUCUUGGCCUUGGAGCAGGAAGAUGAUUAUUUGUGGUAUAUUAAAAUGAUAGGUAAACAGUUUGAAUAUCUUAAAUUAUUUUUAUAAAGACUUGAGCAACUUAAUAUACAUUUUUACUGUGUAAUCUUCAUUACAUUUCCUUUUGCAGGUUUUUGGUUUUACUCAAAGUAGUGACUAAAUUUUCAAAGCAUGUAAGGUUUUGUUGUUUGGGAAACAAAUAGUAGAGCUCCUCUCCUACUAAAUUAUUACAGUUCUUGUAAUAGUAUUUGGAGAUUUUACUCCUGUAGUAGAUUGACUUUGCAAUAAAGGAUAUUGGUUUCUGUA